rnacentral:rRNA from 1 species
GUCGAAUUCGUCGGAUGGUGGAACUGGCGCACGGGUGAGUAACGCGUGGGUAUCUACCUCGGGGUGGGGAAUAACCGCUGGAAACGGCGGCUAAUACCGCAUACGCCUUAAGAGGGAAAGCUCCGGCGCCCUGAGAGGAGCCCGCGUUGGAUUAGCUUGUUGGUGGGGUAACGGCCCACCAAGGCGACGAUCUAUAGCUGGUCUGAGAGGAUGAUCAGCCACACUGGGACUGAGACACGGCCCAGACUCCUACGGGAGGCAGCAGUGGGGAAUAUUGGACAAUGGGCGCAAGCCUGAUCCAGCCAUGCCGCGUGAGUGAAGAAGGCCUUAGGGUUGUAAAGCUCUUUCACCUGCGAAGAUGAUGACGGUAGCAGGAGAAGAGGCCCCGGCUAACUCCGUGCCAGCAGCCGCGGUAAUACGGAGGGGGCAAGCGUUGUUCGGAAUUACUGGGCGUAAAGGGCGCGUAGGCGGUAUGCCAAGUCAGGGGUGAAAGGCCUGGGCUCAACCUAGGAACUGCCUUUGAAACUGGCAAACUAGAGUCCGAAAGAGGAUGGCGGAAUUCCCAGUGUAGAGGUGAAAUUCGUAGAUAUUGGGAAGAACACCAGUGGCGAAGGCGGCCAUCUGGAUCGGCACUGACGCUGAGGCGCGAA